rnacentral:rRNA from 1 species
UACGGAGGAUCCGAGCGUUAUCCGGAUUUAUUGGGUUUAAAGGGUGCGUAGGCGGCCUGUUAAGUCAGGGGUGAAAGACGGUAGCUCAACUAUCGCAGUGCCCUUGAUACUGAUGGGCUUGAAUGUACUAGAGGUAGGCGGAAUGUGACAAGUAGCGGUGAAAUGCAUAGAUAUGUCACAGAACACCAAUUGCGAAGGCAGCUUACUAAAGUUUAAUUGACGCUGAGGCACGAAAGCGUGGGGAUCAAACAGG